rnacentral:rRNA from 1 species
GCAUAUCAUAGCGGAGGAAAAGAAACUAACAAGGAUUCCCUCAGUAACGGCGAGUGAAGAGGGAAGAGCUCAGUUUUGAAAUCUGGCAGUCAUUCCACUGUCCGAGUUGUAAAUUGAAGAGAAUGUCAUCCACACUGGACCAUGUCUAAAUUGUAAUAAUCCACAGUCCUUUGAUGGAGUAUCAGAGAGGGUAAUAAUCCCGUCUUUAACGUGGACCACCAGUGUUUAUGUGAUGCACUCUCUCAGAGUCGAGUAGUUUGGGAAUGCUGCUCUAAUGGGAGGUAAACUCCUUCUAAAGCUAAAUAUUGGCGAGAGACCGAUAGCGAACAAGUACCGUGAGGGAAAGAUGAAAAGAACUCUGAAAAGAGAGUCAAACAGAACGUGAAAUUGCUGAAAGGGAAGCGUUUGGAGUCAGAUGCAUCCUCAAUGUAAUACGGCUCAGUUGGCAGAGACUGAGAGCAGUGACUUGAAGAUGGGCCAGCACUCACGUAGAUCAUUGGAGAAGGGGUCAUGGAAUGUAGCUCAAUUCUUGAGUGUUUAUAGACUUGAUUCAUAUACAAUGUGUCUUAUGUGUGUUAAUUGACAGCACGAGUCUUGACUCAGUGCUUGACUGGCAUAAUGGCUCUAAGCGACCCGUCUUGAAACACGGACCAAGGAGUCUAACAUGUAUGCGAGUAUUAGAGUGAUUGAAACUCUGAAUGCGUAAUGAAAGUGGUUCUUGACUGAGAAUCCUCAAUUAUGGGAGGCAUCAGUACCCUGAGUCUGUUAGUCUUUGACUAAAGAUUUGGAGGUAGAGCAUAUAUGUUGGGACCCGAAAGAUGGUGAACUAUGCCUGAAUAGGGUGAAGUCAGAGGAAACUCUGAUGGAGGCUCGUAGCGAUUCUGACGUGCAAAUCGAUCGUAGAAUUUGGGUAUAGGGGCGAAAGACUAAUCGAACCAUCUAGUAGCUGGUCU